GAACGAGAAAGUGGAGCAAUCCAUGAGUAAAGUGGCGACCGGGUGAGUAACACGUGACUAACCUACCUCCGAGUGGGGAAUCACUCCGGGAAACCGGGGCUAAUACCGCAUAACAUCGCAAGAUCAAAGCAGCAAUGCGCUUGGAGAGGGGGUCGCGGCUGAUUAGCUAGUUGGCGGGGUAACGGCCCACCAAGGCGAAGAUCGGUAUCCGGCCUGAGAGGGCGCACGGACACACUGGAACUGAAACACGGUCCAGACUCCUACGGGAGGCAGCAGUGGGGAAUUUUGCGCAAUGGGGGAAACCCUGACGCAGCAACGCCGCGUGGAGGAUGAAGCCCUUUGGGGCGUAAACUCCUUUCGACUCGGACGAUAAUGACGGUACCCGCAGAAGAAGCCCCGGCUAACUUCGUG
rnacentral:rRNA from 1 species